CUACGGGCUGCUGCAGUGGGGAAUAUUGCACAAUGGAGGGAACUCUGAUGCAGCAACGCCGCGUGGAGGAUGACGCAUUUCGGUGUGUAAACUCCUUUUAUAUAGGAAGAUAAUGACGGUACUAAAUGAAUAAGCACCGGCUAACUCCGUGCCAGCAGCCGCGGUAAUACGGAGGGUGCAAGCGUUACUCGGAAUCACUGGGCGUAAAGCGCAUGCAGGCGGUUAAAUAAGUUGGAAGUGAAAUCCUAUGGCUCAACCAUAGAACUGCUUCCAAAACUGUUUAACUAGAGUCUGGGAGGGGAAGAUGGAAUUAGUAGUGUAGGGGUAAAAUCCGUAGAGAUUACUAGGAAUACCAAAAGCGAAGGCGAUCUUCUGGAACAGUACUGACGCUGAGAUGCGAAAGCGUGGGGAGCAAACAGGAUUAGAUACCCCGGUAGUC
rnacentral:rRNA from 1 species